rnacentral:lncRNA from 1 species
AUGACUCCCGUGACCUGGACAAACACCACAGGAUCAACGAGGCUUUCACAGUCUUGGGUCUUAAGCCGGGGCCACAACAUCUGUUUAGUUAGUAGCAAAAGGCCAGUAAUGCUAGGCAGGGAGGGCUGUAGCCAACAGCAUGCCUACCCACACGGCAGCCCAACACUGCAAACCCACCCUCAACUCUCAACUCUCCCACUGACCAGCAGGCCUGCUCACAUCAUGCUAAGCCCAUUUCCACAUCUUCAGGCAAGAUACACCUUCACCCACAUCCCCGGGGGGCUGCACAGAAUGGGACGGGGUAUCUGACGGAGGGCUGGGGGUGGCUGUGCGUGGUCAGCUUGCCCUUACACUCAC